GCUCUGAUCCUUUGACCUGCAACAGGCUGUUGCCAUGCUGGAACAAGCAGACUUUUUGCCUGCUGUCACGCCUCAGGCGGACAUGGACUCCAUUUCCCAGACUGCUUCGGGAAACCACAUGACUCUGGACAAAUAGCCCGAGUCAUUACCAGCGCUCACAGUCCCCUGAUUAUUGAGUAAACACACCUGUGUAGGUUGACCUGCAUAUUUAGUAUUUAAGGUGGUUUUGGAUGUCAACCUUUGCAUGUUCUUGAUCAUCCUCUUUGCUGCCUAUGAUAUUAAACUUUGUUUGCCUAUUCA